UGGAAAAAUGACAUUAGCUAAACCUACCAAGAACAAAUAUUAAUCAUCAAAAACAUGUUACCCAAGAAAAGGGGCUAAACACAUUCAGGUUCGAUUACAAACCUAGUUACCUCAACGGCAGGGGAAGAAAGACAACCCAAAACCUCCACCAAGAUGAUUUAGACAAGCUCGCUCACACGCACAAACCACACUCCAGCAAGACCCCUCCAAGAACAACCCUCCAACCCUUGAACAACAACCCUGCAAGAAGAACACACACGUCACAGCAAGUGGAAGCCCACCCCUCGAUGACAAUCGGUGAAACUCACCAUUUAACUCCGAAACCAAGUGUUGAACCUACC
rnacentral:lncRNA from 1 species